UAAAUUAAAAUUGUUUGAAUUUAUUUUUCAAUUUCAGUUUCUUGCCAUUUUGUCAAAUGUGCUACUAAAAUGAAAAGUUUUAGAUAUGUUGAAGAGAAAACAGUAUACCCGGUAUUCUUAUGUUUCAGGUGGUUACAUGUUGGGGUUGGUAUCACGAUGAGUAUAAUGAAGAAGGUGAUUUUAAGAUCUCCAGAGAAGUACGGUAUUAUUGGUUAUAUUCUUCUUACGAUUAAUUCAAGCACCAUGAUGUAUUAAUCGGUGUACCAAUAAUGACAGAGUUUCAAAGAGGCACAUAUCCAAGGAAUUGAGAUGGGAUUCAAGAUAUUUCACAGGAAUGUGUAUUUUGUGCUAUUUUGAUAUUGGAUGAUGAAUAUACUUCUAUGUAUAACUGUGUCGAAUUCAUUUGAUAUAUUUGAAGCCUUCUUCCCUGGGACUUCACGAUAAAUCGUAUGGUAUGCGUUGAAUUUGACUUGAAACUAUACUCAAAACUCAAGUGCAGCAAGCAUUUAUCGAUGUAUGGAUAGGAUGUGUGCAUAACAUCAAGACUUUUACAAUCAGACUCACAUGGUGAAUUGCAUUAUGGAUUUUCAAAAGACGGCGGUGUAUUGAAUUUUUUUUUUCGGAUGGAUAUACAUGUAUUGAUAUUUUCCCGCGUUUCGCUAGUAUAGCGGGAAAAUGUUGUAUUAAUGACAAGAUGUUUAUAAUACGCAUGUUGUGUGGAUUGUUCAGAGAGUGACCAAUAGAAAUUGAUUUUGACGUGUAGUAGAGAACUGGUUUUUAAAGGUUGGUCACUUCUAGCCGCCGACUUAAGCGAGCAACAGCUAAAUUUUUUAAAUUAUGUAUAAAGGGUAUAAUGAAUAUAUUUAUAAACAUAUAUUUGAUUUUUUUUUUUCUUAGGGUUUUAUUGGUAGGUUGUGAGGUCCGUCGCAACAUUUUUUGCAUCCAGCGGCACUUGGCAACGGACACAGGUUUCUAGAGUUUUUUAAAAAUUAUUUUUAUCUCUAGUUUUUCCUGGCCGGCCCUGAUGCUUUUCAUGUUUAUCACAAAGGAUAUUUUAGAAUUAUAAUAGAUGCAGCAGUUUUGGGGGAUUUUGAUGUUUUUAUUUCUCAUACACAAUGUUCUGUGUUAUAUAUAUGUAUAUUGAUGUACUGUUAAUAAAAUACGGCGUCCAGCGCACGCACGGCUGGCUGUCAUGCAUAGAA